UACGGAGGGUGCAAGCGUUAUCCGGAUUCACUGGGCGUAAAGGGCGCGUAGGCGGCUGGGGAAGUCGGCGGUGAAAGCCCGGAGCUCAACUCCGGGUCGGCCGUCGAGACUCCUCGGCUCGAGCUCACUAGAGGCAGAUGGAAUUCCGGGUGUAGCGGUGGAAUGCGCAGAUAUCAGGAGGAACACCGGUGGCGAAGGCGGGUCUCUGGGCAGUAACUGACGCUGAGGAGCGAAAGCGUGGGGAGCGAACAGG
rnacentral:rRNA from 1 species